rnacentral:rRNA from 1 species
AUGGCGACCGGCGUACGGGUGAGUAACGCGUAUCCAACCUGCCCUUUACUAUGGGACGAGCCCGUCCGAAAGGCGGAGUUAAUACCGUAUGUUGUCAUGUUGAUGCAUAUUUUCAUGACCAAAGGCUUCGGCCGGUAAAGGAUGGGGAUGCGUCUGAUUAGCUUGCCGGCGGGGUAACGGCCCACCGGGGCGACGAUCAGUAGGGGUUCUGAGAGGAAGGUCCCCCACAUUGGAACUGAGACACGGUCCAAACUCCUACGGAAGGCAGCAG